AGGAUCAGACAUCGGACUGCCCGGCAGAUCCCCUGCCAGAGAGAGAGGACGCGGCCAAGGUGGGCCCAGCAAGAUGAGAGCUGAAAACUGACUGCUGAGUUCAGCCGUGGGGACCUUGGUGCUGAUGAUUGUGCCCAGGGUUGUCAGGUGGAGGAGCACUGGAUGAGAAGCAAUGACCCAUG